GCCGGGGUGGUGGAAUGGUAGACACACGGGCCUUAAGAGCCCGCAGUCCAUUGGACUGUGCGAGUUCGACUCUCGCCCCCGGCA
rfam:Microgenomates bacterium GW2011_GWB1_45_17 TX00_C0011, whole genome shotgun sequence.